rnacentral:lncRNA from 1 species
GCAGGAGGAAGAUACUGUGACUGUUUGCCUUGGUCUAAUGCAAGCUGUCUGAAUUAUCAGAAAGAACAAUAGAUGCUGCAGUAGAGGUGAAGCAACAACAAACUUGAGAACUGCAGCUGAUGGUGUUGGAGCUUCUCACCCCCAAAACGCAGGAGAGAUUCCCUGCUGCAGAGGAGCGCACCAACGUAGCAGCGUUCACUUCUCUUCCAUCAAACAAUUUCAAGACCAGUUUUCUCUCAGAGCUGUCCUGAUUGGAAAACAUGGAGUGCUUGGAAAUGCUCGUGAAGUAAAGCAGCAAGGA